rnacentral:rRNA from 1 species
GACGAACGCUGGCGGCGUGCUUAACACAUGCAAGUCGAACGAUGAAGCUGGAGCUUGCUCCGGUGGAUUAGUGGCGAACGGGUGAGUAACACGUGAGCAAUCUGCCCUUGACUCUGGGAUAACUGCGGGAAACUGUAGCUAAUACCGGAUACGAGGCUCGAAGGCAUCUUCGGGUCUGGAAAGAAUUUCGGUCAAGGAUGAGCUCGCGGCCUAUCAGCUUGUUGGUGAGGUAAUGGCUCACCAAGGCGACGACGGGUAGCCGGCCUGAGAGGGUGACCGGCCACACUGGGACUGGGACACGGCCCAGACUCCUACGGGAGGCAGCAGUGGGGAAUAUUGCACAAUGGGCGAAAGCCUGAUGCAGCAACGCCGCGUGAGGGAUGAAGGCCUUCGGGUUGUAAACCUCUUUUAGCAGGGAAGAAGCGAAAGUGACGGUACCUGCAGAAAAAGCUCCGGCUAACUACGUGCCAGCAGCCGCCGUAA